CAAUCCUAACAUAAUCAAUACCUAUAAGAAAUAUGAUCGUUGGUCCCUCUACACUUUAGCUUUAUCUUGAGAUGUUUAUUUGUUAUAGGAGAUCUAGAAGGAUCGAGAAACGCACUAGAAGAUUUUGGCUUAAAGGACUAUAAUAAUAAUAGCAAGAAUAAUAAUGGCAUCUCCAACGUGAUUAAAAACUAUAAGGCGUGCAGCGAACAACAAACGUUCAUUAUGCAACACGCAGCUUUUUAUUAUGCAAGCACUAGUUAUUAAUAAAGUGCUGAUACUCUACUACGAAAAAAAAAGAGAAAAAGAAAAGUCAAGAGACGUUAUGAUAAGGUAUAAGAAAACGCGUCAAACUAUAAUCAUGCGAUGUACCUGGGUAUGAAGGUUGGGAAAAAAAGUUAUCAAACCAUGCAAUAUGCCAACUAUGGACUAAUUUGACUGGAAACCAAUUUUAUUUUUUUCAUUUAUUCAGAAAAAGAAAGCUUGUGCCUCUUGUGCGAUGCGAGCGUUGCAGUAUAGUGGAACCAAUCUGCGUUACACGUGGGUAAUAUUUACCAAUCUUCGAGGGAACUUGACCACGUGUCUAGCUUAGGAAACGUGAUAGAGAGUAGUCUGUCAGGACACACGCGGUAAAAUUAAAAAAUUAGACGCAAUGGUCGGCAGGAGCUUGCCUGGGGGCAUGGCUGGACAGGGUGCGGUGGAGAGUACGCGGCUCCAGAGCAAGAAAUAGUGCUAGCAGGGCGACCAACACCGCGGCUGCCAGGCUCAUCCAACAUACACAGCUGGUUCUACCACUAGUCCUCGUCU